CAUAGAAACAGGAGAGGGAAAUUGUCACACCACUACUAGAUAUUAAAAGCCAUUCUAAACAAAUAAGUUUUGAGUUCGGAUCUAAAAAGAGCUACAUCUGUAAUAGUGCGAAUAUCAGGGGGUAACUUGUUCCAGAGUCUCGGGGCAGCAACCGCAAAAGCCUGACCACCCCACCGUUUAUACCUUGACCUUGGGACUUCUAAAACCAGUUGAUUUGAAGACCGCAAGGACGGGUUGUGCUCACGCAGGGUUAAAAUCUCGGACAAAUAACUUAUAAAAAACAAACUU